rnacentral:rRNA from 1 species
UGGGGAAUUUUGGACAAUGGGGGAAACCCUGAUCCAGCCAUCCCGCGUGUGCGAUGAAGGCCUUCGGGUUGUAAAGCACUUUUGGCAGGAAAGAAACGUCGCGGGUUAAUACCCCGCGAAACUGACGGUACCUGCAGAAUAAGCACCAGCUAACUACGUGCCAGCAGCCGCGGUAAUACGUAGGGUGCAAGCGUUAAUCGGAAUUACUGGGCGUAAAGCGUGCGCAGGCGGUUCGGAAAGAAAGAUGUGAAAUCCCAGAGCUUAACUUUGGAACUGCAUUUUUAACUACCGGGCUAGAGUGUGUCAGAGGGAGGUGGAAUUCCGCGUGUAGCAGUGAAAUGCGUAGAUAUGCGGAGGAACACCGAUGGCGAAGGCAGCCUCCUGGGAUAACACUGACGCUCAUGCACGAAAGCGUGGGGAGCAAACAGGAUUAGAUACCCUGGUAGUCCACGCCCUAAACGAUGUCAACUAGCUGUUGGGGCCUUCGGGCCUUGGUAGCGCAGCUAACGCGUGAAGUUGACCGCCUGGGGAGUACGGUCGCAAGAUUAAAACUUAAAUGAAUUGACGGGGGUCAUAGCUGUUUCCUG